AGUGAACGCUGGCGGCGCGCUUAACACAUGCAAGUCGAACGAGAACGGGAUAUAUUGCUAUAUUUGUCAGCUAAGUGGCGCACGGGUGAGUAAUGUAUAGAUAACCUCGCCCUCUAGAAAGGAAUAACAGUUGGAAACGACUGCUAAUGCCCUAUAUGCCUUUAAUACAUAAGUAUGGCAAGGGAAACGCUUUAGUGCUAGAGGAUGGGUCUGUAUGGUAUCAGUUAGUUGGUGAGGUAAUGGCUCACCAAGACUAUGACGCCUAACUGGUUUGAGAGGAUGAUCAGUCACACUGGAACUGAGACACGGUCCAGACUCCUACGGGAGGCAGCAGUGGGGAAUAUUGCACAAUGGACGAAAGUCUGAUGCAGCAACGCCGCGUGGAGGAUGACACAUUUCGGUGCGUAAACUCCUUUUAUAUAGGAAGAUAAUGACGGUACUAUAUGAAUAAGCACCGGCUAACUCCGUG
rnacentral:rRNA from 1 species